GUGUGGGUGGGACUGCAGAUAUGUGAUAGUACUGAAAGUGUUCAGACUCAGGACUCCAUUUUGUGUUCAGUGUGAUUAUAGACUUCAACGUGUUAAGUCUGCUUUAGACCUCAGUGGAAGUGGAUGCAUGUUUGGUUAUGGACUUCAGUGAAUACAAGUAUACUUAAAGACUACUGAUUAUUGAUAGAAUGAUGCUCUGUGUACUCAACACAGAGAGAAACCCACAUUCUAUCUGUAAUAAGAAAUGUGCCUGUAUGGUGAAUUAAUACAAGAUGUUAUUGAGUAAACAAGGUAUGUUAUUUUGCAAAGAAGACUUUGCUUUUAUCUCUGAGUGCAUAUUUUAAGUUAAAGGGGUUUUAAAGGGACCCUUCAAAGAAAAAUCUUUAAAACUCUGCGAAUCAAAUAUAUUUUUGUAGUGGCAUGUCAUUAUUUUGGGCAGUUUAAAGACAUGGUUCUUCAGUUUAACAGCUGAGGUACCUGUGUGCCAUUACAUGAAUGCUUGUGAAUAUCACUUGUUCAAAGGGUCAACUUCUAACAAGGGCAUGCUUUUCUUGAGUGGUGGUUUUUAAAAAGGUGGUCUCCACAUAUUCAUGGAGAUUCACAUUUGCCAAAAGGAUAUGUGCCCAGACUGUGGGUGCAGCUAUUUCCAAUAGUUGUAUCUAUUAGAAAUCAAUAGACAUUUUGUUAGGGUUCUCAGCAGAUGUGGAGUGUACUUUUCCAUUGUAAGUAGUAGCCUGCUACAAUAAAAACACAAGCUGCUUGUAGCAUAGAUCCAUCUUGCUGUGUCAUUUGUCCUCUGUUUAUCUGACAAAGUAUAGUAACUGAUGUGUGUAAUCUAUCAUGUCCUUUAUGCAAACAAAGGCUUCCAUGGAACAAGGGCAGAGUCUGAGGUCAGCUGCAUUGAUAGAAAUUAGGGGUGAAGACAAGACUUAGACUUAACCUCACUGAUAUCUUCAGUUAUUUUCAAGACUUCGAUUGUUAUCAGGAUAGAAGACCAAAAGUCCAAAGAACCAGUUCUGAAGUCGUAAGAUUGUGUUUGCUGUGUACACAACAAUUAGCACAUGUUAAGAGAAAGUGUCAUGUCAUUAGAGAUAGAGUGUGGGGUUCCUUCACAUUACAGAGUUAUAACACUAUGAUUUCACUUUACUGCCACAGUUCCAGUUUAUGGAAUGCCAAGGUUUGCAAUUUAUAAAGGACCAUUUAGAAAUCUCAGAGAAAGAAAUGGCAGAUCCCAGGAUUCCAUAGGAUAUAUAGCCAUGGCAGUUAAAGUGGAAUUAUAAUGAUAGAUCAUUGGAGUGUGACUGGGCCUGUGGGCUUUAAGAGAUCCGGGUUCUAACCAUUGAGACUUCGGAUUUACUAGGUAACUUUGGACCAGUCACAUGCUCUCGUGGCUUGAUGUAACUCACAUGGUUGUUGGGAGGAUUAAAUGUGAAGGAGCAAGUGCCUGUUUGGUCCACUGAACUCUUUCAAAGAAAUAGAGGAUAAAAAGAAAUGUUGACUAAAACAACAAUGUCUUCCUAAGUGAAGAUAACAUCGGGAUCAAGUGACUACUUUGUCCACCUGGAGCAGAUGGGCAGAUCUUUGGAGUAAAGGGGAAAUACUCUGGAUUGGACAUCCCAGCAUUCAGCUUCUCUCUUCUCUAAAACCAGUCUCCAAUACUCAGCACUAUACAGCAUGAUCCUGAAACAGCUUAAACAAGUCCAGCCACCUUAACAUCAAGAAAACUAAGAGAAGAAUUACAAUUACUCAUACAGACAGUGGCCCAAAUGAUAAUCUUGGUCCCAUUGAAUCAGUUGGAUUUAUCUAUGGGUUGAUUCUCCAUUCAACAAUUGCUUCAAUUGAUGUAUUCUAAUUGAGAUUAACUAACAGUGUUCCAAUCAGUGGUCUUUUAUUUUAGCUCACAAGUCCCAAACAUAUUCACUUGAAAAUAAACCUAAGCCAUCACA